GGUGUAACUUAGUUGGUAGAGUCCUUGCCUAGCAUGCAUGAAGCCUUGGAUUCAAUCCCCAGCACC
rnacentral:tRNA from 1 species